rnacentral:rRNA from 1 species
CGCGGCCUAUCAGCUUGUUGGUGGGGUAACGGCCUACCAAGGCGAUGACGGGUAGCCGGCCUGAGAGGGCGACCGGCCACACUGGGACUGAGACACGGCCCAGACUCCUACGGGAGGCAGCAGUGGGGAAUAUUGCACAAUGGGCGGAAGCCUGACGCAGCGACGCCGCGUGGGGGAUGAAGGCCUUCGGGUUGUAAACCUCUUUUACCACUCACGAAGGCCCCUGGUUUUCUGGGGGUUGACGGUAGGUGGUGAAUAAGGACCGGCUAACUACGUGCCAGCAGCCGCGGUAAUACGUAGGGUCCGAGCGUUGUCCGGAAUUAUUGGGCGUAAAGAGCUCGUAGGCGGCCUGUCGCGUCUGCUGUGAAAGUCCGGGGCUUAACUCCGGGUGUGCAGUGGAUACGGGCAGGCUUGAGGUAGGUAGGGGAGACUGGAAUUCCUGGUGUAGCGGUGAAAUGCGCAGAUAUCAGGAGGAACACCGGUGGCGAAGGCGGGUCUCUGGGCCUUACCUGACGCUGAGGAGCGAAAGCGUGGGGAGCGAACAGGAUUAGAUACCCUGGUAGUCCACGCCGUAAACGUUGGGCGCUAGGUGUGGGGACUUUCCACGGUUUCCGUGCCGUAGCUAACGCAUUAAGCGCCCCGCCUGGGGAGUACGG